UACGGAGGGUGCAAGCGUUAUCCGGAAUUACUGGGUUUAAAGGGUGCGUAGGCGGCCUUGUAAGUCAGGGGUGAAAGGUCACGGCUCAACCGUGGAAUUGCCUUUGAUACUGCGGGGCUUGAAUCAGGCUGAGGUCAGCGGAAUGUGGCAUGUAGCGGUGAAAUGCAUAGAUAUGCCAUAGAACACCGAUUGCGAAGGCAGCUGACUAGACCUAGAUUGACGCUGAGGCACGAAAGCGUGGGGAGCGAAC
rnacentral:rRNA from 1 species